rnacentral:rRNA from 1 species
GCCAUUGCCUUAGUAGCGGCGAGUGAAGCGGCAAAAGCUCAAAUUUGAAAUCUGGCGCCUUCGGUGUCCGAGUUGUAAUUUGAAGAUUGUAACCUUGGGGUUGGCUCUUGUCUAUGUUUCUUGGAACAGGACGUCACAGAGGGUGAGAAUCCCGUGCGAUGAGAUGCCCAAUUCUAUGUAAGGUGCUUUCGAAGAGUCGAGUUGUUUGGGAAUGCAGCUCUAAGUGGGUGGUAAAUUCCAUCUAAAGCUAAAUAUUGGCGAGAGACCGAUAGCGAACAAGUACAGUGAUGGAAAGUGAAAAGAACAUUGAAAAGAGAGUGAAAAAGUACGUGAAAUUGUUGAAAGGGAAGGGUUUGAGAUCAGACUCGAUAUUUUGUGAGCCUUGCCUUCGUGGCGGGGUGACCCGCAGCUUAUCGGGCCAGCAUCGGUUUGGGCGGUAGGAUAAUGGCGUAGGAAUGUGACUUUACUUCGGUGAAGUGUUAUA